rnacentral:tRNA from 1 species
GCAUCGGUGGUUCAGUGGUAGAAUGCUCGCCUGCCACGCAGCACGCACGGCCACGCAGCCGGGGCAGCCCGGGUUCAAUUCCCGGCCGAUGCA